GUGGGGAAUAUUGCGCAAUGGGCGAAAGCCUGACGCAGCGACGCCGCGUGAGGGAUGAAGGUUUUCGGAUCGUAAACCUCUGUCAGAAGGGAAGAAACUACGUUGUGCUAAUCAGCAGCGUACUGACGGUACCUUCAAAGGAAGCACCGGCUAACUCCGUGCCAGCAGCCGCGGUAAUACGGAGGGUGCAAGCGUUAAUCGGAAUUACUGGGCGUAAAGCGCACGUAGGCUGUAGUGUAAGUCAGGGGUGAAAUCCCACGGCUCAACCGUGGAACUGCCUUUGAUACUGCACAACUUGAAUCCGGGAGAGGGUGGCGGAAUUCCAGGUGUAGGAGUGAAAUCCGUAGAUAUCUGGAGGAACAUCAGUGGCGAAGGCGGCCACCUGGACCGGUACUGACGCUGAGGCGCGAAAGCGUGGGGAGCAAACAGGAUUAGAAACCCGUGUAGUCC
rnacentral:rRNA from 1 species